AAGGUUCCCCACAUAUUGAUCAAGUAUUUUUGGCAAAAUUCUGGUACAGCUGGGCCAUAAUUCCGGUACAGCUGGUCUAUUUGCAAGCUUUCUUUUCUUUUCGAAGUUCCGGUACAGCUGGCUCAUUAGAUUACAGGCAAGGCCCAACAGAGUUUUUUCAAUGCAAAUUAAUUUAUUACAGAAUUAGUACCAUCUCGAGUAUAGUAGACGAAAUAAAAGUUGAGGUAAAUCUUUCCCUAAUUUCCUUAAUAAUAAUAAACCAGCUAUUGCUUCUGGUCGUUAGCAAGUUUUGCAACAAAGCCCUUCUAUUGUUCAGAAAACAACCCGCAGUCUCUGUUUAAGUGAAUACUAAAAAACGAUUCGUUUUUGCACAAAACACCCUGUCGUAUGGAGUAUUCAGCCCGCGGUUCGCGUAGAUUUGUAAAGAAAAAAAAACGACCACAGGAGGACCACGGGCUCGCCUCCUCCCCCUCUCACCCACGCCGCCGCCGCCACCACCCACGCCGGCUGCUUCCGGCGACCUCCGACGCCGCGCAGCACGCCCCCGAGCUCCCCACGGUCCGCGCCUCCCUCCCCUCCGGCCAGAUUCUCCGCUCCGGUCCUCUACCGCCCGCUCGCAACCCCACCCCCGUGGCUAGGGUUUCGGGCAGGGCUUCGCCGGCGCGUCUCCGGCGGACCCAGAAGAUGAAGAAACAGUUUCAUGUUUUGAUGCCUUGAAGUGUUGGUUCAUUGAUUAACUAUCUCACUUAUGUUGUGGGAGGAGCAGAUGAGCCAAACCAUCGAUUUUGUAUUCUUCUGACCCGGGGUUUGCCUUCCAUACCCCGGAAUUUUUUGUGAGUGUCAUGGGGAUAUCUGCCUCGGAAAAUCAGGUUGCUGAAAUCACCAACGAAACUGAUGGUAAGAAAGUAGACCCGAGCAAGACCGAUAUAACCCCCGGAAUGCAGGGUGAGGAGGAACAUAACAAACUCUCCGGGAAGGAAACUGCUCUAUGAUACAGACAACAAAGAAGAAGAUGAAGAGGGUAACAGUAGAAGCCGGAACCUAACAAUCACCGCUGCAAAGUAUGAGGAGGUGUUUGAAGAAGCUCACCCCGCCAUUCCCACCAAGCAGGUUGAAAACAAAUGCCCCAAGCAAUACACCAACUGAUCGAGCUACACAAAUUUCCCCACACAAGUCACAAGAGGCUGUGUACCUCUUCGGUACAGGCUACUGGUACCAGCCAGAACACCUCGAGAUGGUUUGUGAUGAGUUUCUGCUCUAGGAAUGGCUGGGCGCUGCUGCUCGAGAGAUAGGCGUUGAUUGCUGCAAUUUAGGGCUUGAUUGAGCUGCUGCUAGAAAGAGAGAGAGAACAGAGAGGGAGAGACAGGGUUCCAAUGCUUACUGAUCUGGUUUUGGUGAGCAAAAAAUGAGAAAUAGGAGAGGAACAGAGAGAGCAGAGAGAUAGAGAGCGCAGAGAGAGAGGCACACAUCACUGAACCCUUUGGAUUCUAAUGCAAGGUUGAAUAAUUUUUGUGUAUUCUAACUCUCUGGGCCAAUAUGCAGUUUUUUGGCUUAUCAUUGUGCCUCAAGUUUCUGACAUCGCGUGGCUGUACACCGACGACUUUCGCCGAUAAUCCGUCUGCUCGUACUCGACCGUUCGCUGGAACUUUGUCUGACCUGAGGUACAUACUACGGUGUCAUCAAUUGCAUCUGUCAUCAAAGACUACUUAUUAAUUUUGUAUGUUCUUUAGUAUAUGCUCUUUAAGCUCUGAACAAGUCAAUGCCUGAAAUACCACAUGUAGUCAUUACAAGAUGAUCUUCGGGAAAGACAAUAAUUACAUGUAGCGAUCAAAGGAUAUAAAGCUAGCUAAAUUUUUAUCUAGGAAGAACAGCUGCUGUAUGACAGGAAAAAUUUAAGAAAAGAUAAACUAAUAUCAUGGUGAUGGCAUUAAUUGACUAUUUUGUAAGUAGCAAUCAAAGGUGAUAAAGGUAGCAAAUUUUUUAUCUAGGAAGAACAGCUGUUGUGACAGAGAAAUGAAAGCUAAAUAUAUACAAGUAUAUACUUGUUCGUGUCUAUCAAUUUAAUUUCAUGAGUAUUUCAAAUUCAUUCUUCUUACUUCUUCAGAUAAUACAGUAUAUGCUACUUUUGUUCAGGUAUAUACUUCUUUUUACCACUUUUACUUUUUCUCAGCGGAUUCAUGCAUGCUUCUCCUCAUAGGUUUCCCUUAGUUCAGUACUUAAUUUUUUUGGUGUAUACUUUCUCCUCGUCAGAGUAUACGUACAACAAGACAGAAAGAAACAUAUACUGUUGAUCGAUACUGAAAUAUCAUAUGGAAGAUAGCCCUCUCUUCUAUACCCCAUUGUGUGAAAAGUAGUAUACUAUCAAUUGAAAACACACCAUAUACUCCUUUCAGACAAUGAGUAUACACUGAUCGUUAUUGCCAGUAUCAUAGGUAUAUACUCUGAGAAUAGUUGUAUAUAUCCCAUUUGAAAAUAUAAAUAUGUAUAUACUCCUUGCAAACUACUCAUCAUUUAAACGUUUUUACAUAAGAUUGUCCGUCUAGAUACAAUAACUAAUUAGUAUUUUAAUAACUUAAAUUGCAUGGCUUGAUCGUCUGCUUGAGUCUUCUCUUAUGUAUGAGUGCACCAUGUGUGGGUUAAUUUUUUUUGGGUCUUCUAAUUCUCUGCGGUAAUUUGCAUCUAUAUUUGUGCUAAUUGGCAAGGUGCAUGAAUAAUGAUUUAUCUAAGUUUUUUGCUUAAUGGAAAGGCCUUUUCAGUUAAAAAAACCCUACUGAUUUGAUCAACAGAACAUGCGUCUGUUUUUAAAUAGCUGAAUUUCUACUUAUUUAAUUGACUAUUGUGGUGUCAAGAUCCAAUAGCCUUGCUAUUAGUUAAUGCUCUAUUUAUAUUUUCUUCCAACAAAACAAAUGUAUGUUUACAGCAAAAAAACUCGUCAUUUCCAGCAAAAACAAUGGCUCGCUGUCACCAGGUCGCAGCAAAAGUUUUGGCCGGUCCCAUAAGAAAAUUAGUUCCAACAAAAAAAGAUUGUUGUCGCGGUCACAUGUACUAUACUCUACGCCUCCUGAAGAUGUGCAUUAGUGGUUGGCUGUUAUAAUACAUAUAUGUAAGAUUUCAUGUUAUACCAGCUUAGCAGAACUUCACGGAAAUUUGCUAGGUGUUGCAACAGCCUUGAUCAAAUAUUAUUUUCAUUAUUCCUUCUUGGUUUGAGACAAUAACAGUAGAUAAUCUUCAUCGAAAUUUGCUAGAGAAGUUCCAACAGCUUUGAUCAAAUAUUAUUUUUAUUAUUCCUUCUUGGUUUUAGACAAUAAAGUAGAGAAUCUAAAUACUUCUACUUUAUGUGUACUUGUAAUAGAGCAACGCUUGGUGCAGCUAGCUGCAACAGGGACCAACUUGACUUGAUGGGGAUACAAUCACCAAGAAAGAAUCAUACCUGAACUUACCUUUAUGCAUUGCACGAACUACCAAGAUAUUGUAUCUUCCUGUAUGAUCCGUAACUCAUAGACACAUGAGUAGCGAUGGAUACUAUUUGGAUUGAGCGAUCUGGCAUGUAAGCUUAGCUCGGUGGUUCAGAUUAUCACUGUUAGUCUUCUGCUCGUGGCAAUUUUUUAGACCUCUUGAGUUAUCUCAACGAAUCUGGUGUGAAGCUAUGAAGGGAUUUUUCUUGAAAACAAUACUGAAAGGAUACCUUAACUUCAUUUAUUUGUUUUAGAUGUAUAGCUUGCAUGACAGUUUUGUUUAAACAGCUUUUUUGGGCAUUUUGCAAUUCUCACAUAUGUUGUUACCCCUGCACUUACUUUUAUCAUUUCCAGUGUCAAUGUUUACAAAAUUGUUAAAUCUUUUUUUAUUGGAGUUCAGCCAUGUUUUCCACCAA